ACUCAAAGGAAUAGACGGGGGCCCGCACAAGCAGCGGAGCGUGUGGUUUAAUUCGAUGCAACGCGCAGAACCUUACCCAGACUUGACAUGGCCUUGCAAGCCGGGGAAACCCGGCCCUCUUCGGACAGGGUCACAGAUGUUGCAUGGCUGUCGUCAGCUCGUGUCGUGAGAUGUUGGGUUAAGUCCCGCAACGAGCGCAACCCUCGUGCGAUGUUGCAACUCAUCGCAGACUGCCGGUACAAGCCGGAGGAAGGUGGGGAUGACGUCAAGUCCGCAUGGCUCUUACGUCUGGGGCUACACACACGCUACAAUGGCCGGGACAGAGUGCUGCCACCUCGCGAGAGGGAGCUAAUCACAAAACCCGGUCUCAGUUCGGAUGGCAGGCUGCAACUCGCCUGCCUGAAGUCGGAGUUGCUAGUAACCGCGUGUCAGCAUAGCGCGGUGAAUAUGUUCCCGGGCCUUGUACACACCGCCCGU
rnacentral:rRNA from 1 species